UACGUAGGGGGCAAGCGUUGUCCGGAAUCAUUGGGCGUAAAGAGCUCGUAGGCGGUUUGUCGCGUCGGCUGUGAAAACCUGGGGCUCAACCCCGGGCCUGCAGCCGAUACGGGCAAACUAGAAUUCGGUAGGGGAGACUGGAAUUCCUGGUGUAGCGGUGAAAUGCGCAGAUAUCAGGAGGAACACCGGUGGCGAAGGCGGGUCUCUGGGCCGAUAUUGACGCUGAGGAGCGAAAGCGUUGGGAGCGAACAGG
rnacentral:rRNA from 1 species